GUGAGUAACACGUGGAUAACCUACCUAUAAGACUGGGAUAACUUCGGGAAACCGGAGCUAAUACCGGAUAAUAUUUUGAACCGCAUGGUUCAAAAGUGAAAGACGGUCUUGCUGUCACUUAUAGAUGGAUCCGCGCUGCAUUAGCCAGUUGGUAAGGUAACGGAUUACCAAGGCAACGAUGCAUAGCCGACCUGAGAGGGUGAUCGGCCACACUGGAACUGAGACACGGUCCAG
rnacentral:rRNA from 1 species